AGUAAAGUCAGCUAAUUAAGCUUUCGGGCCCAUACCCCGAAAAUGUGGUUUAAACCCCUCCUCUACUG
rnacentral:tRNA from 1 species